AAAUCUUGCAUUUUUGGUGUUUUUGUUUUCGAAGAUGGUACUGUUCUUAGUCGAUACUAGUACAGCCGCAUCACCGAUGUGGCACUCACUAUACAACACUGUUUCUCUUUCGAUACCUACAUUUGAUGGGUUUAUAAUCGGAUUAGUAUUUAUAUUCAGUGUUUUAGUCAUUUCAAUAUUUCCAGUAAAACCAUUUAUGGCAUUUGUGUGAGAAUUGUGAACGGUCACACCGUCAGAAGCCUCCACCAUUUUGUUACUGUCAUCGUCUAUCAGCAUUUUGUUAUUUAUGACUGUAUUGGUGUUGUCGCUUUUUUGUUCCUUGCGCAUCUUUUUUGCUGGGUCAAGCUGGGUCGUUAGUCAAGCUGUCGAAUAUGUCCUCUUUCACACCUGAACACAAAGCACUGAAGUUUUUUGCUAUUGUUUUUUGGGUUUGAAUUUUGCCGCUUUUUGCCACCUGAUCAGGGGGUUUCAAUUUGGCAGACACCGAGUGACCGGCGUCCGCCAUACUUGCUGGUUUAACCAGAUUGCCAAAGACUUACCUCUCCUUUGGGAAAUGAAAAGAGGAAUAAUUUAUAUAUUGAUGAAGAUUUGUAUGAAAUAAACAAUGAUUUGUACAAUCACUUUUAAUUAAGCCUUUGUUGCUUGGAAAAAGUCACUUUUCAGACUGUUAAGAAAAAACACGACCGGUCUCGCUCGCUGAUGAAAAGGAAGUGACCGAAAGCAAUUUGAUUCAGCUUGAAUACAAAUAAUACGUCAGUAUAUUUUCGGCAUAUUUUGAAAUUUGUGACGUAGUUUCGGUAUAUUUCUGAGUGUCUGUUUACCAUUGCACGUAUGAAAAUAAAAGUGAAUAAUAAAAGUAAGCAAAAAUAAGCAUUCAACUUUAUCAAGUGUGUGUCAAGUGUCGAGAAAGAGAAUACGUUUUUAGACAGCUGCGACAGAGCCUGGAAUAUAGCUGGAAAAUACGAAAGAAACCCUCAUACAUAUGUAUGUAUGCUGUGCGCGGGUGUGAGUGUGGUGCAUUCAAGGCUGAUAAAACAACACAAAAAAACAGAGCAAGUGACUAACUAAAAGGCGACAAACACAAAACUACGCGCUAUUCAUUACGCACGGAGCAACAACAAUA